AUAUCAAUAAGCGGAGGAAAAGAAACCAACAGGGAUUGCCCUAGUAACGGCGAGUGAAGCGGCAACAGCUCAAAUUUGAAAUCUGGCGCUUGCGUCCGAGUUGUAAUUUGCAGAGGAUGCUUCCUGCGCGGUGCCUUCCGAGUUCCCUGGAACGGGACGCCAUAGAGGGUGAGAGCCCCGUACGGUCGGCAACCAAGCUUUGUGUAGCACCUUCGACGAGUCGAGUAGUUUGGGAAUGCUGCUCUAAAUGGGAGGUAAACUCCUUCUAAAGCUAAAUAUUGGCCAGAGACCGAUAGCGCACAAGUAGAGUGAUCGAAAGAUGAAAAGCACUUUGAAAAGAGAGUCAAACAGCACGUGAAAUUGUUGAAAGGGAAGCGCUUGUGACCAGACUUGGGCCUGGUAGUUCAGCCGUCCUUCUGGGCGGUGCACUCUGCCGGUUCAGGCCAGCAUCAGUUGCCGGUCGGGGAGAAAGACCGGGGGAAUGUGGCUCUUCGGACCCUUCUUGCCCGCUGUC
rnacentral:rRNA from 1 species